GAUGAACGCUGGCGGCGUGCUUAACACAUGCAAGUCGAACGGUGAAAGAGAGCUUGCCCUCUGGAUCAGUGGCGAACGGGUGAGUAACACGUGAGCAAUCUGCCCCUGACUCUGGGAUAAGCGCUGGAAACGGCGUCUAAUACCGGAUACGAGCUGCGAAGGCAUCUUCAGCAGCUGGAAAGAACUUCGGUCAGGGAUGAGCUCGCGGCCUAUCAGCUAGUUGGUGAGGUAAUGGCUCACCAAGGCGUCGACGGGUAGCCGGCCUGAGAGGGUGACCGGCCACACUGGGACUGAGACACGGCCCAGACUCCUACGGGAGGCAGCAGUGGGGAAUAUUGCACAAUGGGCGCAAGCCUGAUGCAGCAACGCCGCGUGAGGGACGACGGCCUUCGGGUCGUAAACCUCUUUUAGCAGGGAAGAAGCGAAAGUGACGGUACCUGCAGAAAAAGCACCGGCUAACUACGUGCCAGCAGCCGCGGUAACAC
rnacentral:rRNA from 1 species